GCUCUGGUGGCCUAAUGUUUACGGCGCCCGCCUCAGAUGCGGGAGGUCUUGGGUUCGAUCCCGCUCAGCGUU